rnacentral:rRNA from 1 species
AUUGAACGCUGGCGGCAGGCCUAACACAUGCAAGUCGAAUGGUAACAGGAAACAGCUUGCUGUUUCGCUGACGAGUGGCGGACGGGUGAGUAAUGUCUGGGAAACUGCCUGAUGGAGGGGGAUAACUACUGGAAACGGUAGCUAAUACCGCAUAACGUCGCAAGACCAAAGAGGGGGACCUUCGGGCCUCUUGCCAUCAGAUGUGCCCAGAUGGGAUUAGCUAGUAGGUGGGGUAACGGCUCACCUAGGCGACGAUCCCUAGCUGGUCUGAGAGGAUGACGAGGCACACGGGAAGGGAGACACGGUCCAGACGCCUACGGGAGGCAGCAGGGGGGAAUAUGGGAAAAGGGGUGGAAGCUUGAUGAAGCAAUACGGCGGGGGUGAAGAAGGCAUUCGGGUUGGAAAGCACUUUGGGCGGGGAAGAAAAGAAGCAGGUUAAUACCGUGGUGGCCGGACGGGACCGAAAGAAGAAGCACCGGCUAACUUCGUG